rnacentral:tRNA from 1 species
GCCAUGGUGGUUCAGUAGUAGAAUUCUCACUUUCCAUGUGGGAGACCUGGGUUCAAUUCCCAGCAAGGCA